rnacentral:lncRNA from 1 species
GCAUGGUGGAGGGAGGUGUCAUUUAUCAGGGUCCUCUUUUAGAGGUACAUGAUUUGUGAAGGAGUGGCUGCUGAAAAAAAGGAGUAUGGACAAACCUGCAAAUAAGUACUGCUCGUAUUUCUCCUCUGAUUUCUUCUGUUGCGUUACUUGGGAGUCACCACCAACUUCUGUAUCUUCAUAUGGCAAAAGCAGAAUCUCGAUGUUAAUGGACCACUUACUGACUCAAAAGCUACAAUGAUUCUGGCUGCUACUUGGCUGUCCUGUAAAGACAUACACAAGGAAACAUACAUACAUUUUUUUUUUCCCACUGAAAAUAUGUGAAGGUUGUUCCCUUCCUGUUCUCUGAGUGGUGCAUGUCUGUCUGAAAGAGGAAUGAGAGAAGGUGAGAAUCUAAGUUUGCUUUUUAUUUAAUGUAAAGUCAAUUCCAUGAAUGUUGUCCUUGCCAUCUCCCAAGAGUGUCCCUAAGGGUUCACACUCCUCUUUAAAUGAGGAUAAUGUUGCCGAGGAACUUUGACAUUGCUGAUAAAUGAUUCUACAUAAGGGUGAAUCAUUGAUUUAUUGCCUGCGGUGUUAGAUUGAAAUUUGUAAGAAUGGGGUAUCUAUGGGCUUUUAUAUAGACUGUUAUUUGUAGCCAUAGUUUUCUGCCGGCCACUUCUUCUAAAAGAGAACAGCUGAUGAUGUGGAGGGAAAAGGAACUGAUAAUCUAACUUGGAAAUUCUUAAGUAGUGAGGAGCUGGAAAGUGGUG